CCAGGCUAGUGAGGGAGAAGAAAAGAGGCAAUUCUAGAGAAUUCUUUGACAGAAAACAAAAACAAAAAUAAAAGCCCUCCACCAGGCUGUAAGAUCAGACAGGCCAGACAGCCAAUUCAGGCGUGCAGAAUUGGGAAGGUUUCUAGGAGGAAGUCCUCCUGAAGUGAGCCCCUAAAGGCCAUGUGGUUGUCAGCCAUUGAGGUGGCUGAGGGGAAGAAAGAACACUGCAGUCCAGGAGCCUGUGCUUGGAGGGACGUGUUGAGGCAAGACCCAGCCAAUCAUGAGGUCCUCCUGAAGUCUCACUGGGAGGUUUGGGUUUUAAACUAAGAACGGUGGGAGCCAAGGAAGGUUUUAAGCAGGUGGCACUUGGGCCAGGGAGGAUCUCCACGCCUUUCCUCACACCGAGCUGUCUGGCCCUUGGGGAGUUAACUUCACAGAUAGGAAUAUCAUCUUCAGCACCUGUCACCAUAUGGGACAUAGAGGAAGCUCUCCCUCCUGUUUCCAAGAAAAGAAAAAUUAUUGAACUCAGGCUGAGUGUCAACAGGUUGGCAGGUCUUCAAUAAAAAUAUUGGAAGAAAAAUCAACGCAAAAGAAAUAUGGAAAUCAUAAAAUAUUUUUCUAUAGCAUGGAGUCCUACUGCACCAUAAGAUCAAGACCUACUCUUACCUUCCUGUGUAAGCCACCCCUCCCAUCUGUUUUUGAAAGAGCAUUUGGUGGCUUUUGGUUUCCAAGGACUCACGCCCUACUGCAUGGAAGAGCUCUGAUAUGGAAGGAGUUGGGUCCCUGCAUCACUGCAGGAGGAAAUCUGCCCAUCUAUCAGAAACCCUUCAUUGGAUUGUUAAAUGAGUAUAAAUUAACUCCUAUUGUAUUAAGCCAUUGAUGUUUUAUAAUUCACUUAAAGCUACUAAUAAUUUAACAUUCUUCUCAUUCAACAGGGAAUAUUUCAGAAAAUUUUUAGAAUUCCCUGUGUCUCUACCUUAGACAGAGCGAACAUCCAUUUCUGCUGAACUCUACAACCAAAAGAGUGGCAAAUGAUUGUGCAUAGAUUAUUCAGCCUCCCGAGGGUGAAUUACUCUGAUACUUGUGCCUGGGGAAAACACACAAAAAUCAGGAAAGAAGUUGCUUCCAUUCUCUCCCUUCAAAACUGUGCAUUGCAAAGAAUAAUAAAGACCAUUUCGAAAAUUU